rnacentral:rRNA from 1 species
GAGUUUGAUCUUGGCUCAGAACGAACGCUGGCGGCAUGCCUAACACAUGCAAGUCGAACGGGAUCCAGUCUUCGGACUGGUGAGAGUGGCGGACGGGUGAGUAACGCGUGGGAACCUGCCCAGUGGUGGGGGAUAACUGCGGGAAACUGCAGCUAAUACCGCAUGAGCCCGAGAGGGGAAAGAUUUAUCGCCAUUGGAGGGGCCCGCGUUCGAUUAGGUAGUUGGUGGGGUAAAGGCCUACCAAGCCGACGAUCGAUAGCUGGUCUGAGAGGAUGAUCAGCCACACUGGGACUGAGAUACGGCCCAAAACUCCUACGGGAGGCAGCAGUGGGGAAUAUUGGACAAUGGGCGAAAGCCUGAUCCAGCCAUGCCGCGUGAGUGAUGAAGGCCCUAGGGUUGUAAAGCUCUUUCAACGGUGAAGAUAAUGACGGUAACCGUAGAAGAAGCCCCGGCUAACUUCGUGCCAGCAGCCGCCGU